rnacentral:pre_miRNA from 12 species
CACUGCCUUCUUCCCGUCCUGGCUGCUUUUGGCAAUGGUAGAACUCACACUGGUGCGCUCGCAGGAUCCGGUGGUUCUAGACUUGCCAACUACAGCCCCGGGAAACACCACGGACAC